rnacentral:rRNA from 1 species
UACGUAGGGGGCAAGCGUUGUCCGGAUUUAUUGGGCGUAAAGAGCUCGUAGGUGGUUCGGUAAGUCGGAUGUGAAAUCUCCAGGCUCAACCUGGAGGGGUCAUUCGAUACUGCCGUGACUAGAGGUCGGUAGGGGAGUGUGGAAUUCCUGGUGGAGCGGUGAAAUGCGUAGAUAUCUGGAGGAACACCGGUGGCGAAGGCGGCAUCCUGGACCGACACUGACGCUGAGGAGCGAAAGCCAGGGGGGCAAACGGG